rnacentral:rRNA from 1 species
UGGGGAAUAUUGGACAAUGGGCGAACGCCUGAUCCAGCCAUGCCGCGUGUGUGAAGAAGGCCUUUUGGUUGUAAAGCACUUUAAGCGAGGAGGAGGCUACUUAGAUUAAUACUCUAGGAUAGUGGACGUUACUCGCAGAAUAAGCACCGGCUAACUCUGUGCCAGCAGCCGCGGUAAUACAGAGGGUGCGAGCGUUAAUCAGAUUUACUGGGCGUAAAGCGUGCGUAGGCGGCUUCUUAAGUCGGAUGUGAAAUCCCUGAGCUUAACUUAGGAAUUGCAUUCGAUACUGGGAAGCUAGAGUAUGGGAGAGGAUGGUAGAAUUCCAGGUGUAGCGGUGAAAUGCGUAGAGAUCUGGAGGAAUACCGAUGGCGAAGGCAGCCACCUGGCCUAAUACUGACGCUGAGGUACGAAAGCAUGGGGAGCAAACAGG